rnacentral:rRNA from 1 species
AGAAGGGUAAGCAGGCAGAUCAAUUUUCUGCCACCGAAUACAUUAGCAUGGGAUAAUGGAAUAGGACCCUGUCCUCCUAUUUUCAGUUGGUUUUGGCAGCGCGAGGACUAGGGUAAUGAUUAAUAGGGAUAGUUGGGGGCAUUAAUAUUUAAUUGUCAGAGGUGAAAUUCUUGGAUUUAUGAAAGAUUAACUUCUGCGAAAGCAUCUGCCAAGGAUGUUUUCAUUAAUCAAGAACGAAAGUUAGGGGAUCGAAGACGAUCAGAUACCGUCGUAGUCUUAACCAUAAACGAUGCCGACCAGCGAUUAGGAGACGUUGAAUACAAAACACCACCAUCGGCGCGGUCGUCCCUGGCUCGUCGUCUCACGACGGCGGGCGGGGGCGGUUUAGCCCGAUGGCACCGGUGAAUGACUC